rnacentral:rRNA from 1 species
AGUAAUGCCUAGGAAUCUGCCUGGUAGUGGAGGACAACGUUUCGAAAGGAACGCUAAUACCGCAUACGUCCUACGGGAGAAAGCAGGGGACCUUCGGGCCUUGCGCUAUCAGAUGAGCCUAGGUCGGAUUAGCUAGUUGGUGAGGUAAUGGCUCACCAAGGCGACGAUCCGUAACUGGUCUGAGAGGAUGAUCAGUCACACUGGAACUGAGACACGGUCCAG